rnacentral:rRNA from 1 species
UACGUAGGUGGCAAGCGUUGUCCGGAUUUACUGGGCGUAAAGAGCGCGCAGGCGGUCGGAUCAGUCGAAUGUGAAAGCCCCCGGCUCAACUGGGGAGGGUCAUUCGAUACUGUUCGACUCGAAGGCAGGAGAGGGAAGCGGAAUUCCCGGUGUAGUGGUGAAAUGCGUAGAUAUCGGGAGGAACACCAGUGGCGAAGGCGACUUCCUGGCCUGUUCUUGACGCUGAGGCGCGAAAGCUAGGGUAGCAAACGGG